CUUAUUGCGUUACAGAUUUACGUUUUCCGCCAACGUCGAGAAAACGUUUUAAACACGUACGGGUCCACAGGUCGGUACGUGGCAACUACGUUCUUAUUGCGUUAUAGAUUUACGUUUUUCACCAACGUCGAGAAAACGUUUUAAACACGUACGGGUCCACUGGUCGGUACGUGGCAACUACGUUCUUAUUGCGUUAUAGAUUUACGUUUUUCACCAACGUCGAGAAAACGUUUUAAACACGUAGCCAAACGUUUUGAAAAGGAUUACACUUUCAGAGCAAGGUACACGUGUAAUUACCGCUGUUCAUAUAUCGACUGAGCCAAAUGUGCGUAAUUUAUUCUAUUCUCAAAUUGCAAUGUAUUUUAUUUGCGCACGUUGUUCCCUGAGCGUAUAGUUUUUUGAGGCAAAGUUUACGGAAGAAAUUAUUCGAUUUUCAUAUACACGUUCGAAGGUAUGUAUAUGUUCAACAGUAAAUAUAUCUCUUCUAAUGUAAUGUAAUGUAUUUCUUCUUCGUGGAAUGUCCAUUCAAGGUUUUCUAACAUUUGAUUAUUUCCUCUCAUGUAGUCCUUCCGACAGUUUGUUGUUGACGUUCUUGCUUAAACCAGUAAAUUGUGUCAUACGAACGCGGAACGCCACGACUUUAUAGUCCAAAUGUAAGUAUAUAUUUUGCUGUUUGGUUAUAUGUUUUUACUGUAUUGCUGUCUUGUCAGUUGACCUUUGAUAUUUUAACGAGAAAUUUUGAACACAAUAGUAGAGCUUUCAUGGCAUGGACACAGCAUGAUGCAUUUUUUCGAAAGGGCAUGUCUUAAAAACCGGUAAAUAUUGUAGCUCAUACAUUGCAUUACAGUAAAAUGGAUUCUUAAUCUGAGUAUUAUCAUAUUUUAACUGCAUACAUUCAACAUGUUUGCUGCAUAUUAUUAUAGACUCGUUUUUGAUCAUAAACAUUCCUGUAACAUGAGAACUAUAGGGAAAUUUGAAUAUAUAAGGCGCUUAGUUUGAAUAAUUUUGUGUUUGUUUUUUCCAAGAUGCUAAAUAACGUACAUGGCUGUUGUUAUACAAUCAUUUAUGAAUUCGUUUCAUUGAAUCUUUUCCAACACAAAAACCAAUAGCGUAUUGGAAAAUUUGCGCGACUUUUAUAUUUCAGAGCACGAUCGAAUCCGUUGAGUCAGUGAAGUAUCUGUUUCUAACAUGCAAAUUGUUUGCACUUUUAGAAAACGGCUGAUGCGUCUGCAGGUAAAGAUGGCCAAAAUAAAGAGUGACUCGAGUCUGUUGCACGAAAGUAUAACGUUCUUUUAUGCCGGUUUUCCACUAGCGAAUUUUUUCGUGCGAAACGACAUUUAUAUGGUUAAAAUUUAGAAGACUUUAUCAUAAGGUGAUAAGUAAUUUUACAUAAGUUCCAGCUGACUGAGCAGAGAGCUCAUAAGCCAAAAGAAUAUAUAGUCUGUUCGCGCGACAAAAUUCACUUUAGCUUCUAUAAUCUCUAGACUAUAUUACCUUUGUCCAAAUAUCGUUGUAUUCUACCAUCAUAAAUAUCUAUAUCUUGGACUAUUUUCUCCUUCAUCUUUAUUUACGUAAAUAAUAUUAUAUUAUAUUAUAUUAUGAUUUAUGUAUUUAUAUGUAUGUAUUUUUAUGUAUGAACGUUUCGCUGCAAUAAAUAUAUGUCGUUAUAUAAAAGUUGUAUGAGUGCAUUAAUUGCUUGAAUAAAUUCACGUUUCAUGAACGUUGUGAAAACGUUCUUUCUUACGUUGUCUUAUUACGUUGUGACAACGUCCUCUGGAGUCGACAAAAUCACGUCCAGCGCACGUAAACUCACAACGUUUUUUUCACGUAUAAGCGGAACGUUCUAAAAACGUUGUGAGGAAGUUCUUUUUACGCUACUGACAACGUUGUGACAACAUCCUCUGGAGUCGACAAAAACACGUCCAGCGCACGUAAAGAGACAACGUUUUACCAACGUAAGCUGCACGUUCUAAAAACGUUGUGAGGACGUUUUUGUGCUAGCUGGGUAG
rnacentral:lncRNA from 1 species